UAUCAGAGUUCUAGGUUUGGUGGAUCCUGGAUUUCCUUUAUGGAAAGCAGAGACCUUGAAGGAUUUGGGAGCCUGUGAGAUGAAUUUAACAAGAACUGAAUUUGAAUCCGGGUUGAUUGAUAGACCUAGGUUUCUGGAGAGGGUUAAAAACAGUAUGAAAAUUAUAGAGCAGGCGAGUAAUUGUAAAUCCUGUAUAAAAAUAGAACGACGGCUUGAUACAGGAGAACCUCUGGCAGAAGAAAAAUAAAAACUCUGUUUGUUUGUUUUAACUCACUGUUGGGUUUUUUAUGUUUAUUACAAAUAUAUUGUUUAAAAUAUAAUUGUUUUCAAGAAUAAAUGUUUCUUAAUCGUU